GAAAGUAUGUUAAAGACCAAAAACUUGUUCGAGAAGAAAUAUCCCGAGUGUCUUCCAAGAAAAUACUGAAGGUGCAGGAUGAAACUGCAGCACUCAAGCAAUUGUUAUCUGAAGUUUCAAAUGGUUUACAGAGGAAUGCAGUGGCCAUUCAAAGAAUGAAAGAGGAAUCAGCUCAGGAAUUAAAAGAUGCAGAGAUUGCUCACAGAACAAAGGACACUCCCCCAGCACUACAGUUUGAAAACACAGCUCCAACAGGAUAUUUCCAAAGAAUAGUUUCCAGUUUUGAAAAACAGAUGCAUACUUGUCAACAGCAGAUUGAACAGCUUGAAAGGCAUCUGAUGUCUCUUUCUCAACCAUCAGUCUUAUCACCCCAAG